GUUCCUUUGGACAUAUAAUAAAAUUGAAAUGAUACCGAAAAAAUUAACAUGACCCCUAUAAGAGGAUGACAUGUAGUGUAUGAGAAACUUCAUAAACUACA